rnacentral:rRNA from 1 species
UGGGGAAUAUUGCGCAAUGGGCGAAAGCCUGACGCAGCAACGCCGUGUGAGCGAUGAAGGCUUUAGAGUCGUAAAGCUCUGUCAAAUGGGAAGAAUUUUGACGGUACCAUUAGAGGAAGCCCCGGCUAACUCCGUGCCAGCAGCCGCGGUAAUACGGAGGGGGCAAGCGUUGUUCGGAAUUAUUGGGCGUAAAGCGUAUGUAGGCGGCUAGAUAAGUCAGGCGUGCAAGCCCGUGGCUCAACCACGGAAUUGCGUUUGAAACUGUUUAGCUUGAGUGCAGGAGAGGAAAGCGGAAUUCCCAGUGUAGCGGUGAAAUGCAUUGAUAUUGGGAAGAACAUCUGUGGCGAAGGCGGCUUUCUGGUCUGUUACUGACGCUGAGAUACGAAAGCCAGGGUAGCGAACGGG